rnacentral:rRNA from 1 species
CAACAGGGAUUGCCCUAGUAACGGCGAGUGAAGCGGCAAAAGCUCAAAUUUGAAAUCUGGCUCUUUCAGAGUCCGAGUUGUAAUUUGUAGAGGAUGUUUCGGAUACUGCCCCAGGUUAAAUUUCUUGGAACAGAAUGUCACAGAGGGUGAGAACCCCGUCUUGACUUGGGUGUAAGGUCCAUGUGAAACUCCUUCGACGAGUCGAGUUGUUUGGGAAUGCAGCUCAAAAUGGGUGGUAAAUUUCAUCUAAAGCUAAAUAUUGGCCAGAGACCGAUAGCGCACAAGUAGAGUGAUCGAAAGAUGAAAAGCACUUUGAAAAGAGAGUUAAACAGUAUGUGAAAUUGUUGAAAGGGAAGCGCUUGCAACCAGACUUGAGUGCCUCAGUUCCCCCUUCCUUUUGGUUGGGUUAUUCUGUGGUAUCCAGGCCAACAUCGGUUCUGAGGGCUGGUCAAAGGCUCUGGGAAUGUAUCUACCCUUCGGGGUCGACUUAUAGCCCAGGGUGUCAUGCAGCCUCUUGGGACCGAGGAACGCGCUUCGGCUCGGAUGUUGGCGUAAUGGUUGUCAGCGACCCGUCUUGAAACACGGACCAAGGAGUCUAACAUCUAUGCGAGUGUUAGGGUGUCAAACCCUUACGCGGAAUGAAAGUGAACGGAGGUAGGAAGCCUUAAGGCUGCACUAUCGACCGAUCCUGAAGUUUACGGAUGGAUUUGAGUAAGAGCAUAGCUGUUGGGACCCGAAAGAUGGUGAACUAUGCGUGAAUAGGGUGAAGCCAGAGGAAACUCUGGUGGAGGCUCGCAGCGGUUCUGACGUGCAAAUCGAUCGUCAAAUUUGCGUAUAGGGGCGAAAGACUAAUCGAACCAUUGUGUUUAUAAGGGGGGUUCAUGCAUCCUUGCGUGCCCCCGGCUACCUGGUGGUUAAGAGCCGUGCCCAAAAGGUAUGGCUAGUGACCUGAUUCUGUUGCGAUACCGUCAAAUUGCGGGGACGUCCUAAAGAUCUCAACCCCAAGCCUACGUCGAAAGAUUUAGGUGGCCGAGCUCAUCACUCGGGUACGGGAACAGCUUGAGAUAUGAGGCCUCACCAGGCCGAAAUGGAUAAUCCGCAGCCAAGUCCUACCGCCUCCGGGCCACGGACGCAGUUCACAGACUAAAUGUCGGUAGGUCUCAUGGACAUGUCCAUGAGGCUUGAGUUAUAGUCGGUCCCUGGAGAGAAAUUCCAGCGCGUACGCUAAAUCUUCUAGGCGAGAAUCACAUGCCCUAGGCAUGAGCCUGAAGACCUGAACGACGCGGUUGUGCUCCCUACGAACGAGUGCAG